GGGGCACGCGGGACACGCCCCCUCCCGCCGCGCCAUUGGCCUCUCCGCCCACCGCCCCACACUUAUUGGCCGGUGCGCCGCCAAUCAGCGGAGGCUGCCGGGGCCGCCUAAAGAAGAGGCUGUGCUUUGGGGCUCCGGCUCCUCAGAGAGCCUCGGCUAGAUCAUUCCUUGAGGACAGGACAGUGCUUGUUUAAGGCUAUAUUUCUGCUGUCUGAGCAGCAACAGGUCUUCGAGAUCAACAUGAUGUUCAUAAUCCCAAGAUGUUGCCAUUUAUGUUCUCAGAAGCAAGCAGAGGCAUGAUGGUCAGUGACAGUAAUGUCACUGUGUUAAAUGUUGCUAUGCAGUUUGGAUUUUUCUAAUGUAGUGUAGGUAGAACAUAUGUGUUCUGUAUGAAUUAAACUCUUAAGUUACACCUUGUAUAAUCCAUGCAAUGUGUUAUGCAAUUACCAUUUUAAGUAUUGUAGCUUUCUUUGUAUGUGAGGAUAAAGGUGUUUGUCAUAAAAUGUUUUGAACAUUUCCCCAAAGUUCCAAAUUAUAAAACCACAACGUUAGAACUUAUUUAUGAACAAUGGUUGUAGUUUCAUGCUUUUAAAAUGCUUAAUUAUUCAAUUAACACCGUUUGUGUUAUAAUAUAUAUAAAACUGACAUGUAGAAGUGUUUGUCCAGAACAUUUCUUAAAUGUAUACUGUCUUUAGAGAGUUUAAUAUAGCAUGUCUUUUGCAACAUACUAACUUUUGUGUUGGUGCGAGCAAUAUUGUGUAGUCAUUUUGAAAGGAGUCAUUUCAAUGAGUGUCAGAUUGUUUUGAAUGUUAUUGAACAUUU
ensembl:antisense gene trap ROSA 26, Philippe Soriano